AUGCACUCAGGUGGUAUUGACACCUAUCCUGCCUUACUCUCCAUAGGUGUCUACUCUCACGUCCAGCUGCAGCAGUCUGGGUCUCAGCUGGAGAAACCAGGGACCUCAGUGAAGUUGUCCUGCAAGGCUUCAGGCUACACUUUCACCAGCAAUUAUAUUCACUGGCUGAAGCAGAGGCCAGGUCAGGGCCUGGAGUGGAUGGGGUGGAUGUACCCUAGCAGUGGAAGCACAUACUAUGCACAGAAGUUUGAGGGACGGGUCUCCAUGACCAGAGACACCUCCUCCAACACAGCCUACAUGGAGCUCAGCAGCCUGACAUCUGAGGACUCUGGCAUCUAUUACUGUGCAAGACAGACACAGUGUUGCAACCACAUCCUGAGUGUGUCAGAAAACUUGGAGGACUAG